UGCUUCUGGGCAAUGGGGACGCAAUAGACCGGGGGAUCCCAUGGCCCUGCGCUCACUGUCAUACCCCUUUUACCCAGAUGGGCCACUUGAUGGGAGCCACUGGCAUGUGGGAAACUGUGUAGGUCACCUUUCCUCGCGGCUCUGUCCACCGGGAGAAUGUCCUUCCACCGCUGUCCCCUCAAGCCACGUGGAUUGGGACCGUCGCCCAGCACAGUCUGUUUUCGACAGACGACGAGGCUUCACGUUGACCGAUCUAUGAACCAGGCCUGAGUUGGCUCCUGAGUGAUCACGGAGGAUCCCUGCCCCGUGAAGUGCGUCGAGAGGAAUCAGUGCAACAGUCUGGACCACCCGUUUGUGUAAUUUACUCAUCCUUCUGGACGUGAUUGGCCUCGAUCCUGAACGUUCUAUCUUCAUCGUCAGUAAACUACCCAACCUGAGGACUUGGCGCAUGUGAUAACACACGGCUCGUGAUGGGCGGGUCUGGUCCCCCAGUGACUCAGUG